UGCUCAUCCAGAGGGACUGAGGGAACGGCCCGAAGAAGUCCCGGCAACCGCCGCGAACUCCCGGACGCGUCAGCACAGCUGACGCGGACGUCGCGGAACACGGUGCCAAAUCCGACCCGGCGAAAGUCGCACGGGACAGAUGAGAA
rnacentral:ncRNA from 2 species